UAGAGUUUGAUCCUGGCUCAGGACGAACGCUGGCGGCGCGCUUAACACAUGCAAGUCGUGCGAUACCUCGAGCGAGUCUUACGACGAGCUCAAGGUAGAGCGGCGGACGGGUGAGUAACACGUGAGUAGCUGUCCUAAGGAGGGGGAUAACGCCUGGAAACGGGUGCUAAAACCCCAUAUGCCUCGCAAGAGGUGAAAGUGUAUUACUACAGCCUUAGGGUGUGCUCGCGGCCUAUCAGCUAGUUGGUGAGGUAAUGGCUCACCAAGGCUAAGACGGGUAGCCGGCCUGAGAGUGUGUACGGCCACACUGGAAUUGAGAUACGGUCCAGACUCCUACGGGAGGCAGCAGUGGGGAAUCUUGGGCAAUGGGCGAAAGCCUGACCCGGCGACGCCGCGUUGGGGAUGAAGCCCUUCGGGGUGUAAACCCAUGUUGUAGGGGACGAAGAAAGUGACGGUACCCUACGAGGAAGCCCCGGCUAACUACGUGCCAGCCGCCGCGGUAAUACA
rnacentral:rRNA from 1 species